UGCCAGACUCCUACGGGAGGCAGCAGUGAGGGAUAUUGGUCAAUGGGGGAAACCCUGAACCAGCAACGCCGCGUGAGGGAAGACGGUUUUCGGAUUGUAAACCUCUGUCCUCUGUGAAGAUAAUGACGGUAGCAGAGGAGGAAGCUCCGGCUAACUACGUGCCAGCAGCCGCGGUAAUACGUAGGGGGCAAGCGUUAUCCGGAAUUACUGGGUGUAAAGGGAGCGCAGACGGCAGUGCAAGUCUGGAGUGAAAGCCCGUGGCUUAACUACGGGACUGCUCUGGAAACUGUGCAGCUAGAGUGCAGGAGAGGCAGGCGGAAUUCCUAGUGUAGCGGUGAAAUGCGUAGAUAUUAGGAGGAACACCGGUGGCGAAGGCGGCCUGCUGGACUGUAACUGACGUUGAGGCUCGAAAGCGUGGGGAGCAAACAGGAUUAGAUACCCCAGUA
rnacentral:rRNA from 1 species